UCCUCUGUAGUUCAGUCGGGAGCACGGCGGACUGUUAAUCCGUAUGUCACUGGUUCGAGUCCAGUCAGAGGAG
rnacentral:tRNA from 1 species